UACGUCGGGUGCGAGCGUUGUCCGGAAUUCCUGGGCGUAAAGCGCGUGUAGGCGGGCUGAUACGUCGGACGUGAAAUCCCUGGGCUCAACCCAGGAACUGCAUCCGAAACUGUCAGUCUGGAGUGGUGGAGAGGGAAGCAGAAUUCCUGGUGUAGAGGUGAAAUUCGUAGAUAUCAGGAGGAACACCGGUGGCGAAGGCGGCUUCCUGGACACUAACUGACGCUGAGACGCGAAAGCGUGGGGAGCAAACAGG
rnacentral:rRNA from 1 species